rnacentral:misc_RNA from 1 species
AAAACCAACAAGAUCGGCUAAUCUGUAUGAUAAAUUAUCAAAACGAAACCCACUGUCAAUCAAACAGUUAUCUGUUGAGACAAAACAAGGUGUCGCAAUGAAUCUGAAUCGGAUAACUGGAAUGUUGCUGCUGACCUACUUAAUGCAAAAAAUGGAAAGAAGAAACAAGAUAAGAGCAAUACAAGUAUACCAUUACCAAAAGCAACCGGUACAUAUGCUUCAAAGAAAAGGCAAGCGACACAUAAAUGAAUUCUACAAAGCAUACAUGAGGAAGAAAACAUGCCAUAAAUGCAUUCUGUUCAGCCCAUAAAUUUACUUAACCAAAGAUCUGUAUGAGUUAUCAGGUUGAAGACGGAUAACUCAACAGCAAGACAAUGGAAGAAAACAAGGACUGCAUGUGACAGAUGGCUGAUACAAAAUAGUAGUAGUGCAAGCACUCAUCCCUUUGUCGAAAGUUUCAGAAUCUACUUGGUUCCUAUUGCACCAAAAAAAACAAGGUAAAAAUCUUGAUUCUUCUAAUGCAGGAAGCUGCUUCAACCAAAUUAAUUGUAAUGGAAAGAUCACAUAGUUUCAGACAAAUCACAGCAAACAAGAAAAAGCAUGGCUAUAUUCAAACUCGAUUCCUGAAGACAAUAACAAAAGGCCAUGCGUAGCUACUUACCGGAAGGGCCCCAUUGGCAUUCCA